UAUCAAAAUAUUUUAUCAAAAUAUUACGUUUUAAUCACUGCAGGGGGAAUUGGAUAAAGACAGUGUCCUUUCACUGUUUCCCUUGGUGUUACACAGUCUCCUCCAAGAAGCACAAUGUCCCAGCAAGUUCUAAGAAAAGGAGCUUUGGUGCUCAGCAUCACUGUCUCUUCCAGGCUUGGAGAUGGAAACAAAGCAGUUGUGCAUGGUGGGGAGUGCAGUUGUGGGGGAAACGCGCUGACUUUUGCAGUUUUCAUCUUUGCUAAACAAAAUCGUGAGAGACAGAGAUGUUAUGGUUACUGCUGAAAGCCACAAAGGCGAUAUUCUACACUUUCUUCGUGUUACGGUCUUCUUCCUUAUGUUUUCAAGCUCCAGGCUAUGAAAGUGCAUGAAAAACAGCUGAUGAAUUUCCCUCAUAAGCCAGAAAAUCUUCUUUCCCCAAAGGAGAGAAGAAGCCAAAACUAUGAACUGAAGUUACUAAAAGAUGAACCUUCCCCAGGAAUGCACGCUCAGUAUAUAGGUGAAGUAGAUAUGUAAUGUUUUGUCAUGCACAUUGCAAGAAUAUCCUGCACGAGACUUAUCAAACCAGAGAUCAAGUCGUGACAUGCCCAAGGAAGCGCCUGAAGAGGCAUCGGGAAGGCCUGGCACCCCCCCGCCCCCCGGUGCUCUUUGUUUAAGGAAGACCUUGCAGAGAAUCACCAUAUCAAUACGACAAGAAGAGCGCUGGGACAUCUUGGAAACAACAGGAUGGCUACUGACAGACAUCAGAUAACACACAAAUUAACAAAUGUAAACCUUCGAAGGUGUCAUAAGAGUGUCAACCUGGAGUACCCAGCCAAUGGGGAAACAGGGGAGGGGGGAGGCAAGGAGGGGUGGGGGAAACAAGGUACAGAAAGCUGUCAUAUUGUGUCCUUAGGUGUGCUCUCCUGUUUGCGGGACGCCUGCCAUUGCAAUGGCGAAUAAAAUCUGCUUUUAUCAGAGAUACCGUCCUGACAAAAUUAUUUGGAUAUUUCCAUCAAUUCUGGGGGCUCGUCCCGGAUUAUUAUCGCCUUUUUGGGGGGUCCCCCAACUGCCCUGGACAGGAUAGGUGCACCCCGCUGAUUUCAGCGGCGCUCUCUGGGGACUCCUUGGGAUGGCCGAUAGGAAACCGAGACUGUUACAUAAAGGACGGGCUCUGUGAAAGCCAAGGGGCAGGUAGGCACAGGUGUUGACCACUGCUGACCCGGUAACUUCGUGCACGGACCAAGGUAAGGGAGUUUAAUUCUUGCCUUGGGGGGUCGGUGGAGACUCGGGCGAGGCUCGGGAGGGAGCUGUCGGUGUGCGGCUCCUUGCACGCUUGACCAAGUGCCAGCAGCACACCCCUAUUAAUCCGAGAAUCAGAGUGAGGUGCUCCGAAGGGACUGGCCCUAUAUCCGAGAAUCGGAGUGUGGUCACCUGUGAGCUGGGUGGUUCACAGCAGCAUUCCGGAGGGAUGGGGAAUAGGAGCUCCGAAGAACAGGGGAAAAGGGUCCCCGAAAUCGUGCCUAGAGAUAGCCCCUUGGGAAAGCAGCUUCAGCAUUGGAAAAUAAUCCCAAAACUAGGGGCAAGAACAGGGAAAAGAUGUUUAAAUACUGUAUACGGACAUAGCCUAGAGAGCCACUGCAGGGAAAAUCCACAUUUUGAUCAGACUGUGGGUCUGACGAAGAUUGGGUUUGACAGACUUUGAGUUUGUAUGUAAACAGUGAAACUCCUUUCCCUGAAACAGAAUGGGCUUAUGCCGCUUAAUGGGUGCAAGAAGUACAACAGUUCCUCCCAAGAUGGAGUCGAAGUUCAAAAGAGAAAGGAAAGAGAAGCAGAAAAAUCACAAAUAGGAUCCCUUAGAUAAUUCCCCUCCCCAACCCCCCCUUUCAAUUUCUAAAGCAGUGCAAGCAGCAGUGACCUCUCCAGGGAAGGGGAGUGACCGAGCUGCUGAUCCUGGGCACGGUCCUGCAGAGAGCUUGUGCUCUCGAUUACUGAGCGAAUUGGAGCAAUGUAAACGGGACCUGGAGGGUUUUCCUUUCUCUAAUACUAACCUCACUAAUACUUCACUUUAUCCACUUAGGGAAGUCUCCUUAGGUCAAAGGGAAAUAGGGUAUGCUGAUGCCUGCAGUUUUUACUAGCAGAAAGGUUAGGAGUUUCAAGAAGGAAAUUAAUUCCUUAAUUGAGGAUCCUGUAAGCGUAGCAGAACCGUUGGAUCAAUUUCUAGGGCCUAAUUUCUCCUCGUGGAUGGAAGUGAUGUUUAUCGUGGAUAUGUUGUUUACUGGAGAAGAAAGAGGUGUGAUUAGGUGGGCAGCUGUGCAAGAGUGGGAAAGGAAUAGAGAGGGAAGGUUGGGCCUUGGAGGGAAGCAGAGGGAGGAAGGAUCCAGAGGAUAAAUUGUACUGAUUAUUGUCACUGUCUUUGUGAUUGUUAAAUGUUUAUGUUGUGAAAGUCUUACCUAAGAGGCUGUUAUGGGACAAGGGGUGUCUAAAGAGAUACCGAGAAGACCCCCUGGGUUGUAUUUUGGCUCACUGGAGAAACAGUGCUGGUGAGCCAGGGGGAGUAUUGGAUAAGAAAUCAGGAACAUAAAAUGGGACCAGUCUUAUAAUUGAGUACCCUAAUCACGGGACCAAGGGCUGGGUGUUUGUGGAAGGUGAAGAAUUGUAUUGUUUGAUUUUUGUGGAUUUUGAAGGGAGUGGGAGAAGCUGUUUCGAUGGAAUAUGGAAGUGCAGUUGUUCAUGGUACGUGGAAGUGCAGUGGAGGGUACAAACAGUGGAAUUGUGGAGAAAAAAAUAAAAAUAAAUAAAUAAAUAAAAAACGACAAAAGGGUUAAGCAGAACAGUGAGUUUGGGAUAUCUGAGUUUGUGCCGGCAGGAGAACACAU
ensembl:lncRNA